AGUGAACGCUGGCGGUAGGCCUAACACAUGCAAGUCGAACGGCAGCACAGUAAGAGCUUGCUCUUACGGGUGGCGAGUGGCGGACGGGUGAGGAAUACAUCGGAAUCUACUUUUUCGUGGGGGAUAACGUAGGGAAACUUACGCUAAUACCGCAUACGACCUACGGGUGAAAGCAGGGGAUCUUCGGACCUUGCGCGAUUGUAUGAGCCGAUGUCGGAUUAGCUAGUUGGCGGGGUAAAGGCCCACCAAGGCGACGAUCCGUAGCUGGUCUGAGAGGAUGAUCAGCCACACUGGAACUGAGACACGGUCCAGACUCCUACGGGAGGCAGCAGUGGGGAAUAUUGGACAAUGGGCGCAAGCCUGAUCCAGCCAUACCGCGUGGGUGAAGAAGGCCUUCGGGUUGUAAAGCCCUUUUGUUGGGAAAGAAAAGCAGCAGGUGAAUACCCCGCUGUUCUGACGGUACCCAAAGAAUAAGCACCGGCUAACUUCGUG
rnacentral:rRNA from 1 species